rnacentral:rRNA from 1 species
UGGGCAUUUCUUUUUCCGGGUGUGGCUGCGGCCUCCGGGGGCGUGGGCGUCGAGACGAUGCCCUCUCUUCCGGGUGGUAGAGGUAAAACUCUCACGCGCCACAUGUCUGAAUCCUUUUUUUACGAGCACCUUUCGUUCUCCUUCGGUGGGGUGACCUGCCGUUGGAACCCAUCAAAACUCUUUUUGCAUCUAGCAUUACCUGUUCUGAUACAAACAAUCGUUACAACUUUCAACAAUGGAUCUCUUGGCUCUGGCAUCGAUGAAGAACGCACCGAAAUGCGAUAAGUAGUGUGAAUUGCAGAAUUCAUGAAUCAUCCAAUCUUUGAACGCACAUUGCGCCCCUUGGUAUUCCAUGGGGCAUGCCUGUUCGAGCGUCAUCUACACCCUUAAGCUCUGCUUGGUGUUGGGCGUCUGUCCCGCCUACGUGCGCGGACUCGCCCCAAAUUCUUUGGCAGCGGUCCUUGCCUCCUCUCGCCCACCACAUUGCUCUUCUCGUGGUGCGCUGCCCGCCUCCACGAAUUAACAUUUCCGUCUUUGACCUCGGAUCAUGUAGGCAUACCCCCUGAUCUUUUCCAUAUCAAUAACCUGCUGAAUCUUAAUUUUUUUCUCUUUACCCUUUCUCUCACUUCUUUCUCAUCCCA